UCUAUUUCUGACUAUUACAUAGUGAAUCUAAUUAGACUACUAUGUUUGUUUGCAGUAAAACGAAGAGGGCUAUAAUGGUGUGAUCAAAGUAUGCGGUUGAUACAAAGCCCUAUGGAAUAUAUACGGUAUGGCUUUGGUGGAGGCUUGUCAACCCAAGGGAUUUGAUCCUUGGAAAGUGUUGAUUCUUUCCAAGAAUAAUGCACUGGUCGUUGCCUUGAUGAGGAUCUCUUUCCUUUUUGCUAGAGAUAUAAUUGACUGAGAUGGCACUCCUUCCAUUCUUGCCCUUCAUUUGAGUUUGCCGUUAUAGAUAAUCUUCAGUGAUUUGCGUAUAUGCUAUUGAAGCAUGCGGCUGGAUAUGAUUUCCCAAAAUCAUGGGUGAGAUCCUGAUUUGCUGAUGGGAAGAUGAUCUUUUCCUUGCAUUCCAACGGCUCCCUUGAACGAGAAUUUCCUUCCUUAUUUGAUGCUUCAAUCUUGCUUCCAUGAUUGGAUGUAGUGGCAAUUUGCCUUUUAGCUUUGCUUCAUUAGUUUCAGCAGUUCUAUUUCCUUCCUUGAGUAUCUACACAUGUAUAUUAAUUUCAUCAUUAAAAUCAAACUUGCCUUUUAGCUUUGCUUCACUUGUUUCAGUAGUUCUGUUUCCUUCCUUGGGUAUCUGCACAUGUAUAUUAAUUUCAUCAUUAAAAUAUAAUCUAACAAUAUCCCCUUAUGGAUGAUGGCAAAAUUAAUAUACUAGAGUAAACAGCAGUUGACUUCCCUAUUGGAUUGCUCCCCUUUAAUGUGUAGUCUACUUGACUUGAUCUCCCCUGCUUAUGUGCAGUCAAUGUGUUGCUCCCCCUCAUUAGAUGCAGUCGACUGGGAGCUACAGAAUUAUCUAACAGACAUGCGAAGCACAAUACAAGCACAAGACAUACAAACAGACGAAGCACAAUAUAUGACAAGUAGUCAACUUGUCCUGUGCAGAUAUAAUAAUAGCUAUGCCAUAGCAUAUGCACAUCAGGAUCAUCAAGUUACAACCUGCAUAGCAAAGAUAAUCAUAUAUAUUCUCCCCCUUUUUGGCAUCAGCAAAAGAGGGUGCAGCAAAAGUAUUAUCCACAGAAAAGAGAUAAAAUCAUCCACGGUAAAAGCCCAAUCACAACCAACAAGUUAAAAACAAAAAAAAUUGUUUGAGGGCCACAAUCAUUCACGACGUAGAAAGUAAGUUAGAGUAUUGCAGAUAGCAUCUUUCUACUGGUCAAAACAGGUGUUGUCAUCAACCUGCAUUCCAUCAAGCCUGUCAUGCACCUCUUUGAACGCCUUGACCCCAUUCUCCCGUACUCUUUGCACAGCCACCCUGAUUUUUGAAACAUCAGACCUGGUUUCCUUGGAGAUAGCAUGAAUGGCAUCCAGAGUCGACUUGAUGUCGGAGAGUUGAUAUUCCACACGGCGCAACUUGAAUCUGAAAUUUGAGGGAAUGGACAGAAGAGGAGUAACUAAAGACGACUUGAUUUCCUCAGGAACGGGUUUAGCUUCACUUUCUCCCUUCUUGACCCAGACCUCUUUUAUAGAUACAUACCCCAUGCUAGAAAAGGCCCUGGAGUUAUAGCAUUUAGACACAGGAACGAAGGGGUAGUUGAAAGAGAAAUUCGGUGGGCUUUCAGAAUGAGGGUGAUGGCCAUACCAUACAGAAAGCUGGUGGGUCUUCAGCACUCUCAAUCAUGAAGUUGAUAACCCAGGAGGACAGCUUGAUUUUGAGCUUAGAGAUAAGACAAUAGACGAAGAAGGUGUCCCUUUGAGAGAGAGUGGAAAAGGAGCCAUUUAUGGGAAGAAGAGUGGUUGCAACAACCUGAGCAAUAACUCUAGUUUGAAAACUAACAUCACUGGGUCUAAGUUGAUGGGGAAGGUUAUCAGAGGUAUUUUUCUACAAUGAUUUGUUUGGCUUGAUCAAAGAAAAUUUCGAAAUCGUCCAGCCACACAUUUUUAAAAAAUGUUGGAAACCUAAAACAACGACAGAGAAAGAUGGAAUCAAAGAGGUUACAGUCAAGAACAAUGCAUUUGUCAAGGACAAGAGUUUCGAGCCUAUCAGACUUGCUAGAGCAAAGAUUUUCAUAGAACAUAUGGAUAAGAGGUUCAUACACUUUAGGAAGAGAGAUAGAGAGAAAUUUUUCCCACCCCUGAUACCUAAAAAGUUCUUUUACCUUGCAGUUGAGGGAGUCCAUACCAUUUGGAUCUACCACACGACCAUCAGCAAUAGGUUUGUCUUUGAGGGAAAUAAAGAAAUCCUUGUUUGGGGAGUAAUUGAGGUCAGAUUCGAGAGAGGUAGAGAAAUCAAACUUACGUUUCUCGGAAGAGGAGAUAGGGGCUUCAUAGAUAGGUCGUUUACCAGUGGCUUUUUUACCAAGAAGCAGAGAGUGCUCAGAAUAUGCACCUUGAGAGGAGGCACAUUCUUCAGACUUGUCGGACCCUAGGUCAACCUGCUUCGGCUGAGCCGACGCGGGUUUUGAUUUGGAAUGGGUACUCUUUCUUGUGGAAUCAGAAGGAAUUUUUGGAUUUUUGGCCAUGGAAGAGACGGGGGUUUCUGAAUAGGAGGAGAAGGGUUUUGGUGGAAAGGAUGAAAGGGAAAGGGUUGAUAAUGACUUAGUAGGAAGAGGGGAUUUGACGGUUGAGUGGAAAAGGAAAAGUUGUAAGUAAGACCUACGCGUUGAUUGGUUUUCCAACUUUGCUACAACUAAUGUGAAAUUAGAAAAGAAAGAGAGGGAAAGAAUGAUGAGGGGAUUUGACGGUUGAGUGGAAAGGGAAAAGUUGUCAGUUAGACCCACGCGUUGAUUGGCUUUCCAACUUCGCUGCAACUGAUGUGAAAUUAGAAAAGAAAGAGAGGGAAGGAAUGACGGCGUAAUUAAUAAAGACAAUAAUGACACGAAUUUAAAAGAGUUACGCUUUGACCCUAAGAGUUAGUUGAGAGACAAAUAACGCCAAGUAAUUCCAUUAGAGCACAAAAUCUUUCUUCCAAUAAGGAUUUAGUAAAAAUAUCGGCUAGUUGAUCUGUAGUACCAACAAAGGCUAAUUCUAUAUCACCCAUAAGAACAUGAUCUCUAAUAAAAUGAUGUUUAAUAUCUAUAUGCUUAGUCCUAGAGUGACGCACAGGAUUUUUCGAUAGACGGAUGGCACUAUAAUUAUCACAAAACAUUUGUAAAGGUUUGAAAGAAAGAUCAUAGUCACCUAGUUGAUGUGACUUCCAAAGCAAUUGUGCACAACACUUUCCAAUAGAAAUAUAUUCAGGUUCAGUAGUCGAUAAUGCAACUGAUGGUUGCUUUUUACUAUUCUAGGAAAUUAGAGAUUUUUCCUAGUAGUUGACAUGUUCCACUCGUGCUUUUUUUAUCAUCUUUGUCACCUGCUAAAUCUGCAUCUGAGAAGCCUUUCAAUUUAGAAGAAUUAGAUUGAGGAUACCAUAAACCAUAAGAUAUUGUUCCGAUAAGGCAUCGAAUAAUUUUUUUUACAGUAGUUAGAUGCGACUCCUUAGGAGCCGACUAGAAACUGGCACAUUUGCAUACAUUGAACAUAAUGUCUGGGCGACUUGCGGUCAGAUAUAGAAGUGAUCCAAUCAUUCCUCUAUAGUUGGUUUCAUCCACUGAAGUACCAUGUUCGUCCUUACCUAAGGUUUUAGCAGGACUCAUAAGAGUUCCAAUGGAUUUUUCAUUGCUCAUACCAAAGUUUUGAAUCGGCUCCUUGGUAUAUUUAGAUUGACAGAUAAAGGUUCAUUCUUCAGAUUGUUGAAUUUGAAGACCAAGAAAGAAGAUGAGCUCCCCCAUCAUGCUCAUCUCGAAUUCGCUUUGCAUGAGAUUUCCAAAUUCCAUACACAUAAGAAGGUUAGCACUACCAAAGAUAAUAUCAGCAACAUAAAUUUUAAUUACAGGGUUACCUUCGGAUGACCUUUUGAUAAAUAGCGUAGUAUCAAUUUUACCUCUGGUGAACCCAUGUUCUAUAAGACAAGUACUUAGCCUUUCAUACCAAGCAUGUGGAGCUUGCUUUAGUCCAUAUAAGGCCUUAGUCAGCUUGUAUACGUGAUAUGGAUAUUUCGAGUUCUCAAACCCUGGGGUUGUUUCAUGUAGACUUUUUUUUCGAUAAAUCCGUUGAGGAAGGCGCUCUUAAUAUCCAUUUGAAAUAGUCUGAAUCUUUUGAAUGAUGCGUAAGCUAACAGAAUUCGUAUUGACUCUAAUCGAGCAACUGGUGCGAAUGUCUCAUCAUAGCCGACUCCUUCCUGUUGUGAGUAACUAGUCUGGCUUUGUUUCUAACAACUUGUCCUUCUUCAUUUAGCUUAUUUCUGAAUACCCAUUUAGUACCAAUAACUGAAGCAUUUUCAGAACGGGGUAUCAAUUCCCAUACUUGAUUCUUAUUGAAUUGCUCUCGUUCUUCUUCCAUAGCAGUUACCCAGCUUGAAUCUUUUAGGGCUUCUUCUACCUUCUUAGGUUCUACUUGGGAGAUUAGUUCAAUAUUUGCCUUCUUUUUGAGAGCUGCUCUGGUCUUCAUUCCUUCAUUUGGAUCUCCAAAAAUGAAUUUCUGAGGAUAUUCGACUUCAUUUCUCUACUCAUUUAGUCUAGUGGAUUGUGUGGUUUACUUUGGAGGUGGCCCAGAAGUUUUACCGCUUGCUUAUUCAGUCGACUCUACAGCUACAGAGGGAGUUGUUGACUCCUGAGAUUUUCUCUGAGCCUCUUGAAUUAAAUCUUCAUCACCUGCAUUGGAUCCUUUCUCGACCAAGGGAUUACUUUCAUCGAAUACAAUGUGAAAUGAUUCUUCUACACAUAUACUGUAUUUAUUGAAAACUCUAAAAGAUCUACUAUUUAAUGAGUAACCAAGAAAAAUACCUUCAUCGCUUCUACGAUCAAAUUUUCCAAGAUUUUCCUUACCAUUGUUGCUUAAUGAGUAACCAAGAUAAAUACCUUCAUCGCUUCUAGGAUCAAAUUUUCCAAGAUUUUCCUUACCAUUGUCGUGAAUAAAGCAUUUUCUUCCAAAUGGAUGAAAAUAGCUGAUGUUGGGGCUUUUACCUUUCCAGAGUUCAUAUGGAGUCUUUUUGAGAAUAGGUCUUAUAAGGCAGCGAUUUAGGAUGUGGCAGGCAGUGCUCACUCCUUCUUCCUAGAAUUGAUAUGACAAUGAGUGUUCCAAGAGCAUAGUUCUUGCCAUGUCAUGCAAUGUUCUGUUCUUUCUUUCAACCACUCCGUUUUGUUGAGGAGAUUGGGGAGCAGAGAAGUUGUGGGUAUAUCCUUGACUGUUGCAGAAUUCUUCGAAUGUCUUGCUUUCAAAUUCGCCUCCAUGAUCACUUUGAAUUAUAGAGAUUUGACAACCCUUCUCUCAUUCAAUUUUCUUACAGAAGAUUUCAAAGUUUCGCAGAGCUUCAUCUUUGUGAGAUAGAAAAAUCACCCAAGUGAAUCGAGAAAACCCAUCAACAAUAACAAAAGCAUUUCUCUUGCCACCUAUGCUAGCAGUUCUAGUAGGUCCAAAUAAAUCCAUAUGAAGUAGUUGCAAAGGUUUUGAAGUAGAGACUAUGUCUUUGUUUUUGAACGAAUUUCUAGUUUGCAUACCCAUCUGACACGCAUCACAAAUAUGAUUUCUGCAGAAGUUUAGCUUGGGUAGACCGAUGACUAGAUCGUAUUUGGAUAAUUUUUCGAUUAAAUGCAUGCUAGCAUGCCCCAAUCUUCUGUUCCAUAGCCAAGGAUCAUCAGACAUGGAUGUUAAGCAGAUGUGACCAUCUAUAUUUUCGAAGCCAUCUAGUAUGUAUACUUUUCCAUACCUUUUACCUGGAAGGAUUAAUUUGCCUGACUCGUCUUCAAUAGUACAACCAGUUCUCUUGAAUUUUAAUUCAUAUCCCGAGUCACAUAGUUGACUUAUACUGAGGAGAUUGUAGUUUAAUCCAUGAAGUAAAUAAACUUCAGUGAUAUCACAGUUGUUGUUGAAUAUAACAGUUCCAGUCCCAACAAUUUUGCCUUUUGAAGUAUCCAAACUUGACAAUUCUUCCAUCAAUUUUUGUAAUUUCCUUAAACAUAUUUUGUCACCUGUCAUGUGACUGGAACACGCACUAUCUAGAUACCACUUUCCUUUGCGCUUUACUCUGUGGUGUUCUUGCAAAACAGAAUUAUCACUUUCUUUUCGGUACCCAAGCUUUCUUGGGUCCUGGAGAGUUAGUGUUACUUGAUUCAGAAUUCUCAGGCUUCCAAAUCCAACCAAACAUAUGAGAUUUACGAAAGUGACAGUUAGAAAAUUGGUGCCCACUUUUAUUGCAGUAAUGACAUCUAAUAUUGGGCCUACUUUCCUGUUUUUCAUGAGAGUUAGAGUUAGCAGAUCUAUGAGUUGCUGACUCCUUUCCAGUCGACAUGUAAGUUGAUUGGUUCGAUCGACUUGUAAGUUGAUUGGUUCGAUCGACUUGUCGAUCUAGUUCUGAUUGGCUCUUUUCAACUGAUUAGACCUAACAAAACUGUGACUGGUGGAUUUCCGCAAGCUGCUAUGCUGCAGUUGCAUUUCCUCAAACUCUUCCUGAAGUACUUCUUUUUCAAUUUCACAUACUUCAAGCUUAAGUUUCCAGUCUUCGACUUCCUUUGUGAGCCUUUUCAGCUCAUUCAUCAUUUUCUGAAAUUCAGAAAGGGUAGAGUCAAAGAUGUCUUGUAAUUCAUUGCAUCUUUCACAAUUAUAGGAUCUUACCUCGCUGGUUUCUCCUCUUGCCAUGAAGCAGUUUUCAUCUUCGGAAUCAUCUUCAUCCAUCCAGCAUCCUGAAGUUUUGUUGAUCUCGUUUUCUAGGAUCGUCAUGAAGCAUAGAUUAGCAAUUUCCUCAUGGUUUGAUUCAUCCUCGUCACUCUAGCUUCCAAACGAUCUGUUCUUGCUGAAUCCUCUAGAGAACUUUCUUUUCAGUUCUAGCAUUCUGCUUAGAUGUGCCCGAAUUUUCCACUUUCGUAGCAUUUUCCAUCAUUCUUGUCUUGGUCAUUGUAUUGUCUGGUCCUUCUUGGCGGGAGUCUUCCCUUCCUUGCCUUUCUGUAUCUUCUCAUUAUUCCGUCCAUAUUUAUAGAUAGCACAGCAAUUUCUUCUUGUAGGACUUCGGGAUAAUCAACUUCAUUUUCAGUUGCCUCAAUAGUAGCUUUGAAUACUCUCAUUAGUCCGUCCAUAUUUGUGGAUAACAUAGCAAUUUCUUCUUGUAGAGCUUCAGGAUCAUCAACUUCAUUUUCAUUGGCCUCAGUGGUAGCUUUGAAUGCAACAUUUUUCUUUUUCUCUUCUUGAUUUGUCUUCUUCAUAUGUGUUCUUUCGAAAGCAUUGAUUUCUCCUCGCAGUUCAUCAUAGGAUAGCUUAUUCAGAUCUUGAGAUUCCAGUGUGACAAAAUUAGUCUACCAUGUGGUUGGUAGACUUCUGAGGAUUUUCCUAACUUGAUCGCCACUGGUAUAGGGUUUUCCAAAGGCCUUUAAAUCACUGCUUAUUUUGCUAAACCUGGCAAACAUUUCUUCGAUGGAUUCUCCUUCUUUCAUGGAGAAACGUUCAUAGUCGUGGACAAGUAUAUUUAUGUGAGUUUCCUUUACUUUGCUGGUUCCUUCAUAGGUAACUUCAAUUUAUCCCACUUUUCCUUUGUUGUGUCACAACUGGAGAUCUUUUCAUAUUCUUCACCACUUAUAGCAUUGUGAAGUAGAUUCCUUGCCAUAUAAUUUAAUUGAACAACUUCCAGUUGUUCCUUUCAGUAUGAAUCAAUGUCAUCAGGAUCCGUGAGCGGUGGAACGCUUGCAGGUAGUGGAUAGUUCCCUUUCUUGAUAACUCUCCAAACUUUGAUAUCAUUGGCCCCAGUUGUUCUUUGCUGUGUCACAACUGGAGAUCUUCUCAUAUUCUUCACCACUUAUAGCAUUGUGAAGUAGAUUCCUUGCCUUAUGAUUUGUUUGAACAGCUUCCAGUUGUUCCUUUGAGUAUGAAUCAAUGUCAUCAGGAUCCGCGAGCGGUGGAACACUUACAGGUAGUGGAUAGUUCCCUUUCUUGAUAACUCUCCAAACUUUGAUAUCAUAGCCCUUGGUGAAAAUUUCCAUACGAAUUUUCCAGUGGGACAAAUGUUGACCGUUAAAGUAAGGUGGUCUUACUUGAGAAGUUCCUUCUUGAAACAAAGCUCCAAGAAUAACCUGAAUUGCCAUGAUCUUUUUCCCACAAGUUGUUAAGCAAAAAAGAACAAAUGUGAGCCUUGCUCUGAUACCCAUUGAAAGUACAAGAGGGGGGGUAAAUUGUUAAUUAUUUAAAUUUAUUCGUAUAUAAGUCGACUUAAAACUAUAUUAGUUGACUUAAUGCAAUACUGCACCAGACAAGAAUAUAAAUAAAGAUAAGUUGAAAGUAAAUGCAGGAAUAUAAUGACAACUAGAAUUUUAUACUGGUUCGGAUAUAAUGUGAAUCUUAAUCCAGUCCCCUUGAGUUGCAAGGGAUUUCUCUUCAGAUCAAUAGUUCCUUUUUGAGUACAGUAGUGAUGAUUAUCGCAUAGUCUUCUUUUACUCGUUGAUACAAUGACUCACCAGUUGAGAACUCUCUUUCUAUUUCUGACUAUUACACGGUGAAUCUAACUAGACUACUAUGUUUGUUUGUAGUAAAACGAAGAGGGCUAUAAUGGUGUGAUCAAAGUAUGUGGUUGAUACAAAGACCUAUGGAAUUUAUACAGUAUGGCUAUGGUGGAGGCUUGUCAACCCAAAGGAUUUGAUCCUUGGAAAGUGUUGAUUCUUUCCAAGAAUAAUGCACUGGUU
rnacentral:lncRNA from 1 species